CUAUUUUACAGCUUUCCUUCACUUCCAUCAUAUAUACAAAAAUAUGAAACUAUUCGUAAUCAUCCUUCUCAUUUUUGGAAUCGUUGGAUCAAUCACAUCUCAUAAAUGCAAACAUGACAGUGAUUGUGCGGUGGGAGAAAAAUGUACUCCAGGAAUGGAUGAUGAAUUAUCCUGUCAUGGAAGUAUUGCCGAUGUUGUAAACGAGGAUAACCUUUUGAAUGCAAACUUCCUUGGCUGAUGUUAAAGCAAAUGAAUGUGUUGAAUACAGUGUUGAAGAAACUGAUUUAUUCUUCUAUAGCAUAGAAUUUUAAUACUUUUAGUUUCAUUUACUCUUGAUAUUUUUGGUUGCAUCAAAUAAUGUUGUACAUUUUGUUUGUUUCAUUUAUUUGUUUAUCACCUUCAUUACUAUUUAAUGCCCAAUUGAUCGUAUUUUUUUCACGAAAAUAUAUUUAUUCUACUCAGAUAUUAAUUUUUUCCAGGUGUUGUAAAUGA